rnacentral:lncRNA from 1 species
GCACUUGGGCUGUGGUUUCCUGGAGAUGGGAGAUCGGGAGCUUUGGUGUACUUCUUGAAGGUUUCAGAAAAAGGCCAAGACUUCUUCAGAACUAUUUCAACAAGAAAAACUUAAGCUUCCUUGGAUUCCCACGUCAAAGGAAAGUUUCAAGCUUUCAGAAGGAGUUCUCACUCGAAGAUAAAGAACAGCUCGCUAACCACGAAAGAGGAAUCGAUGCUCAGCUUUUAGUUGCACUUCCUAAAGUUGCAGAAUUAAGACAAAU